UAGGGAAUCUUCGGCAAUGGGGGGAACCCUGACCGAGCAACGCCGCGUGAGUGAAGAAGGUUUUCGGAUCGUAAAGCUCUGUUGUUAAGGAAGAACGAGUGUGAGAAUGGAAAGUUCAUGCUGUGACGGUACUUAACCAGAAAGGGACGGCUAACUACGUGCCAGCAGCCGCGGUAAUACGUAGGGCGCAAGCGUUAUCCGGAAUUAUUGGGCGUAAAGCGAGCGCAGGCGGUUAGAUAAGUCUGAAGUUAAAGGCAGUGGCUCAACCAUUGUAGGCUUUGGAAACUGUUUAACUUGAGUGCAGAAGGGGAGAGUGGAAUUCCAUGUGUAGCGGUGAAAUGCGUAGAUAUAUGGAGGAACACCGGUGGCGAAAGCGGCUCUCUGGUCUGUAACUGACGCUGAGGCUCGAAAGCGUGGGGAGCGAACAGG
rnacentral:rRNA from 1 species